rnacentral:ncRNA from 1 species
AGCGAUAAAGGCAAACCCCGAGAGAUCGGGGGGCGCAAAGUAAAGGGUCUUCAUAAUCACAUGGAUGUAGCAUAAGAUAGCCUUACUGCCGAAG